CGGCUAACUCCGUGCCAGCAGCCGCGGUAAUACGGAGGGUGCGAGCGUUAAUCGGAAUUACUGGGCGUAAAGGGCACGCAGGCGGUUAAUUAAGUUGGAUGUGAAAUCCCCGGGCUUAACCUGGGAAUGGCAUUCAAAACUGGUUAGCUAGAGUCUUGUAAAGGGGGGUAGAAUUCCAUGUGUAGCGGUGAAAUGCGUAGAGAUAUGGAGGAAUACCCGUGGCAAAGGCGGCCCCCUGGACAAAGACUGACGCUCAUGUGCGAAAGCGUGGGGAGCAAACAGGAUUAGAUACCCUGGUAGUCCACGCUGUAAACAAUGUCGAUUUGGAGGUUGUGGGCAUGAACUGUGGCCUCCGGAGCUAACGCGUUAAAUCUACCGCCUGGGGAGUACGGCCGCGAGGCUAAAACUCAAAUGAAUUGACGGGGGCCCCCACAAGCGGUGGAGCAUGUGGUUUAAUUCGAUGCAACGCGAAGAACCUUACCUACUCUUGACAUCCAGCGAAUCCUUUAGAAAUAGAGGAGUGCCUUCGGGAGCGCUGAGACAGGUGCUGCAUGGCUGUCGUCAGCUCGUGUUGUGAAAUGUUGGGUUAAGUCCCGCAACGAGCGCAACCCUUAUCCUUUGUUGCCAGCG
rnacentral:rRNA from 1 species